rnacentral:SRP_RNA from 1 species
GCCGGGCGCGGUGGCGCGCGCCUGUAGUCCCAGCUACUCGGGAGGCUGAGGCAGGAGGAUCGCUUGAGCCCAGGAGUUCUGGGCUGUAGUGCGUUAUGCCGAUCGGGUGUCCGCACUAAGUUCGGCAUCAGUAUGGUGACCUCCCGGGAGCGGGGGACCACCAGGUUGCCUAAGGAGGGGUGAACCGGCCCAGGUCGGAAACGGAGCAGGUCAAAACUCCCGUGCUGAUCAGGAAACAGGCUGUUCCUUGGGAGGAAAGAGCACAACCUAGCACAAAAGCUAUUUUGAAGAAUCUCUUCUUA